GAAAGGAGGAAUCCGGUGGCGGCUGGGCAUGCGGCGCAUUAGCUUGACGGCGGGGUAACGGCCCACCGUGGCGACGAUGCGUAGGGGUUCUGAGAGGAAGGCCCCCCACACUGGAACUGAGACACGGUCCAGACUCCUACGGGAGGCAGCAGUGAGGAAUAUUGGUCAAUGGGCGGAAGCCUGAACCAGCCAAGUCGCGUGAGGGAAUAAGGCCCUACGGGUCGUAAACCUCUUUUGCCGGGGAGCAAGGGCCGGGACGAGUCCCGGUCCGGAGAGUACCCGGAGAAAAAGCGUCGGCUAACUCCGUGCCAGCAGCCGCGGUAAUACGGAGGAUGCGAGCGUUAUCCGGAUUUAUUGGGUUUAAAGGGUGCGUAGGCGGGCUUUUAAGUCAGCGGUAAAAAUUCGGGGCUCAACCCCGUCCGGCCGUUGAAACUGGGGGCCUUGAGUGGGCGAGAAGAAGGCGGAAUGCGUGGCGUAGCGGUGAAAUGCAUAGAUAUCACGUAGAACCCCGAUUGCGAAGGCAGCCUUCCGGCGCCCUACUGACGCUGAGGCACGAAAGUGCGGGGAUCGAACAGGAUUAGAUACCCUGGUAGUCCGCACAGUAAACGAUGAAUGCCAGCUGUCCGGGCCGAAUGGGGCCUGG
rnacentral:rRNA from 1 species